rnacentral:rRNA from 1 species
UUGCCAGCCUCCGCCGGUAAUACGUAAGGUGGCCAGCGUUGUCCCGAAAUAUUGGGGCGUAAAGCGGCGCGCAGGCGGGCUUCCCCACGUCCCUCUUUAAAAGUGCCGGGGCUUUAACCCCGUGAUGGGAAGGAAACUGGGAAGCUGGAGUAUCGGAGAGGAAAGUGGAAUUCCUAGUGUAGCGGUGAAAUGCGUAGAGAUUAGGAAGAACACCGGUGGGCGAAGGCGACUUUCUGGACGAAAACUGACGCUGAGGCGCGAAAGCGUGGGGAGCAAACAGGAUUAGAUACCCUGGUAGUCC